rnacentral:rRNA from 1 species
GCGUCUUCCUGGUCAAGGUUCCGGAUGUGAAAUCCCCGGACUCAAGCCUGGGAACUGCAUUCGAAACUGGCAGGCUAGAGUCUUUGUAGAGGGGGGGUAGAAUUUCCAGGUGUAGCGGUGAAAUGCGUAGAGAUCUGGAGGAAUACCGGUGGCGAAGGCGGCCCCCUGGACAAAGACUGACGCUCAGGUGCGAAAGCGUGGGGAGCAAACAGGAUUAGAUACCCUGGUAGUCCACGCCGUAAACGAUGUCGAUUUGGAGGUUGUGCCCUUGAGGCGUGGCUUCCGGAGCUAACGCGUUAAAUCGACCGCCUGGGGAGUACGGCCGCAAGGUUAAAACUCAAAUGAAUUGACGGGGGCCCGCACAAGCGGUGGAGCAUGUGGUUUAAUUCGAUGCAACGCGAAGAACCUUACCUGGUCUUGACAUCCACAGAACUUUCCAGAGAUGGAUUGGUGCCUUCGGGAACUGUGAGACAGGUGCUGCAUGGCUGUCGUCAGCUCGUGUUGUGAAAUGUUGGGUUAAGUCCCGCAACGAGCGCAACCCUUAUCCUUUGUUGCCAGCGGUUAGGCCGGGAACUCAAAGGAGACUGCCAGUGAUAAACUGGAGGAAGGUGGGGAUGACGUCAAGUCAUCAUGGCCCUUACGACCAGGGCUACACACGUGCUACAAUGGCAUAUACAAAGAGAAGCGACCUCGCGAGAGCAAGCGGACCUCAUAAAGUAUGUCGUAGUCCGGAUUGGAGUCUGCAACUCGACUCCAUGAAGUCGGAAUCGCUAGUAAUCGUAGAUCAGAAUGCUACGGUGAAUACGUUCCCGGGCCUUGUACACACCGCCCGUCACACCAUGGGAGUGGGUUGCAAAAGAAGUAGGUAGCUUAACCUUCGGGAGGGCGCUACCACUUAGGAUUGCUGGG